UACGAAGGGGGCUAGCGUUGCUCGGAAUCACUGGGCGUAAAGGGUGCGUAGGCGGAUUUCUAAGUCAGAUGUGAAAGCCCCGGGCUCAACCUGGGAAUUGCAUUUGAGACUGUGUAGCUAGGGUGCGGAAGAGGGAAGCGGAAUUUCCGGUGUAGCGGUGAAAUGCGUAGAUAUCGGAAGGAACACCAGUGGCGAAAGCGGCUUCCUGGUCCAGCACCGACGUUCAGGCACGAAAGCGUGGGGAGCAAACAGG
rnacentral:rRNA from 1 species